rnacentral:rRNA from 1 species
AUUGAACGCUGGCGGCAGUCCUAACACAUGCAAGUCGACCGAGUGGCGGACGGGUGAGUAAUGUCUGGUAAACUGCCCGAUGGAGGGGGAUAACUACUGGAUACGGUAGCUAAUACCGCAUUCCCUCCGAUGUGCCCAGAUGGGAUUAGCUAGUUGGUGGGGUAAAGGCUCACCUAGGCGACGCUCCCUAGCUGUUCUGAGAGGAUGACCAGCAACAUGGGACCUGAGACACGGUCCAGACGCCUACGGGAGGCAGCAGUGGGGAAUAGUGCACGAUGGGCGCAAGCCUGAUGCAGCCAUGCCGCGUGUAUGAAGAAGGCCGUCGGGUUGUAAAGUACUUUCAGCGGGGAGGCGUUACCCGCAGAAGAAGCGCCGGCUAACUCCGUGCCAGCCGCCGCGGUAAUAC